CAGGGACACGCGCUCUUGGCCACAGCAACUGGCUCCAAGUUCCCUCCCUCGCUCUCCGGCGAAGCCUGCCUGAGCCCUCCCACUCGGUGCAGACCGAACCAUCGCGGCUGCAGCCAGCCGGGCCCUCCGCGGCCGCGCGUCCUGGGCCCGUUCCGCCAGCCCCGUCUGCUCUCUACCAGCGGCCCCGCGACGGUGACCGUGAGGACUCGACGGCCCCUACAGCCCGCUCUCGGCCCUCUAUCCCUCGCGGGCCCCUACUCUCCCUCCUCGCAGUCCCCGGGAGCCUGGCGCCCGGCUCGGGCCGCACCGCCAGGGACUGGGGUGCGCGGCCCAGAAAUCUCCAAAUUAGACAUCCAGAGCAGCAUUCUUGUUCUUUCUACGUCUUGAAUUAGAAACUACCAAGGCUCUUUAAGUCCUGAAAAGGAAAUAAAAGCAAUUUCCUGCUGCAGAGAGCAUUUUAAGAAAGGACAGCAUUCCUGUGACCUCUGCCUACCAUCCAUAAAAUACUCAUUCUCCUCUCAGGUAAGCAUAUUGCUUUGCUUUGAUCCAUUCUGAGAAGGAGGUAUUGAUUCUCUAUGAAAACCUGUGUCAUUAUUGCACUAAGACAAAGAAGCUGAGGUUUCAGAUAUUUUGCUGUCUGGCAAAAAUAAAUAAAUAA
rnacentral:lncRNA from 1 species